rnacentral:piRNA from 1 species
UAAGUAAUGCAGCGAAUAAUUUUA